rnacentral:lncRNA from 1 species
UAGGGUCAUAAAAGCCACACAGCUUCCCCAUGCCCUUCAACUCUGAAAAAGCACACAGUUAUCUCCCCUGGACAGCUAGAGACAGUCUGCUAUUAUUUGAGCUAUGUGAAAUCAUGACAGGGAAGCAAUGCUGGCUAUACCCCUCUCUUCUGAUCUGUCAGCCCUGCCCUCCUUCUCAUUCUGACUCAGAUUCCAAUCCUGCUUCUUUGUCCGUUUAAGUUGGGGUACAAGAGGAGUUAGUUACAGGAGAUCCCCUAAACACAAAGGUCUGAAGUGAUAUUAAUCCAUAUUAUGCAGGGAGAAUAGCUGUCCACACCAUUGUAACUGUAGAAAAGACCUGGCUUCUGUGGCAAGAGCAGAAUGUGGACUCUGGAAAGGGAGGGGAAAGGUCAGUCGCCUUCUAGAGCCAAGAGAACUGAAGGAUGUGACUCUCCUCAGCCCUGCCAGUUGUCCUCAUCAGACCCUGACCUGAAGGAUGCUGAAGAGUGGGUGUGGGUGGAAGAGACAGAGAAGAGGUAAAGUGCCAAGACAAACAGUGCCUCUGUGUAUUUGGUCAUUUCAGUAAUACUGGCUAAAAGAAUCUAUGCCAAUGACUAUCAUGCUUGGUUCGUGCAGCUAGUUAUAUUCCCAUUGCUGGGUCUUACUUGCUUGGGGCAUUUCCUUCCUGUGUGUUUUCCUCCUAUAUGUUCAUGUGCUCAAUGAAAGGUCUAUGACAUCCAGGAGGGCUGAAGGGGGUGGGGAACCCAAUGAUCACAUGAUGUGGUGACAUAAUUGCUAGAAUGGUUGGAAGUGUCUAAGUUAGAGACAAGACACAUCUGGGUCCAACUCCCAACUUGGCAAGCAGCUACUAGCUUUUGAGCAAGUGCUUAACAUCUGUAUGCCUCAGGUAUGUCAGCUGUGAAACAGAUAAUUAUAGUUUAGUUCAAAGAACUCUGUCCUGUGUGCACGAGAAAAAAAUAACAGUAAAUUGCACACAGGGAGCAGCCACUGAGAAUUCAUUAUUACAAAAUAUACCAAGAAUGAUACUAAGACUCCUUUACCCAGGAAAAAAAAAAUCAAAGUGCAGAAGGGAACUAAGUCAAUAAAAAAAGUGCUUGGAGCAAAUACCAAACCUAUGGUGCAUUAUGACAGCUUGAAGCCUAUCUUAGGGUAAAAACAAAUCAGACAGUCUCAUAAGGCAAGAUGUAAGCUUGUAAAACCUCUACUUAAAAACCUAUGCGGCAACUUUACACUCAUUUUUAAGAGUUCCUUUGGGUUCUUUCUUGAAUCAAAAUUCCUAUUGUACUAUUGCAAUUUAGUAAUCUUUGUUCAAAAAAAUGAUCUCUUAAUAUAAAUGUAUGUUUAUUGUACACACAUGAACACACAUACCAACUAAGAUUCACUCUCCUGUGCAGAGAUGAGAUGCACAUCUCUGUAGAAACAGGAUACAGUAUAAAAGUCGUAUCCUCUUACUGUGUCACAGGUAUCUCAGCUAUGCUCAAUCACUCCUGAACGACCUUCUUUCAAUUUUUCUAAAAUAGCGACAUAGAAAAUACAGAGAAACUCUUUAAGAAUAAUCAUCUGCACUGUUGAUCCAAGCACUCAGGAGGCAGACCUUAAAGCCAGCCUGGUCUACAGAGCGAGUUCCCCGACAUCCAGAGCUACACAGAGAAACCCUGUCUCAACAACAACACAGUCACUUGUUUCAGCCAAACAACAACAAAAAUACAAACAUAGUCACUUGCUUCAGCCAAAUUCCAGGAAGCUAACUACAGAACCCUUCAUUUAAAUGCUAACCUAAUAUGCUAUUCAAUUCCAACAUCUAGUCUCUCCAUCAUGCUAACAUCUUUGAGUUAUAACACAUUUUAAGGGGAAAAAAUUCCCAUGUUUUAGAAAAGUAUUUUAAAUAUUUACUUUUUAUCUUUUAAAAAUUACUUUUACUACCUCUGCCUUGAACUAAUGUUUGUCUAUGUUCCACACUAUGUUUCAGUGACAGACGAU